rnacentral:tRNA from 1 species
GGACCUAUAGCCUAGCCUGGCAACCUUUUGAGCAAGUCAAAGUUGGGCAAAUAAGGCGACAGCCUUCUAAGCUGUAGAUCGGGGGUUCGAAUCCCCCUAGGUCCA